rnacentral:lncRNA from 1 species
UCUCUCUCUCUCUCUCUCUCUCUCGAUCUGGAUUUUGAUUUUGGUUUUAGAGGGCGAGUAGAUCUCGUCUUGUUAAUAUGACACCCUGCGCAUCAAUUUCACCACCUGUGAAGGUUCAGCCGUCGUUGGGGCGGCGACAUUGGAAGAUUUUCCUAAUAAAAGACGACUCUUUUUUUGUGGCACGACAUCGACAAGAUGGACAGGGACCUGCCCUCGAUCGACC